CGGUGAAACUUGCUCUUCGAUUCAGCGGCGGACGGGUGAGUAAUACCUAGGAAUCUGCCUGGUAGUGGGGGACAACGUUUCGAAAGGAACGCUAAUACCGCAUACGUCCUACGGGAGAAAGCAGGGGACCUUCGGGCCUUGCGCUAUCAGAUGAGCCUAGGUCGGAUUAGCUAGUUGGUGAGGUAAUGGCUCACCAAGGCGACGAUCCGUAACUGGUCUGAGAGGAUGAUCAGUCACACUGGAACUGAGACACGGUCCAGACUCCUACGGGAGGCAGCAGUGGGGAAUAUUGGACAAUGGGCGAAAGCCUGAUCCAGCCAUGCCGCGUGUGUGAAGAAGGUCUUCGGAUUGUAAAGCACUUUAAGUUGGGAGGAAGGGUACUUACCUAAUACGUGAGUAUUUUGACGUUACCGACAGAAUAAGCACCGGCUAACUCUGUGCCAGCAGCCGCGGUAAUACAGAGGGUGCAAGCGUUAAUCGGAAUUACUGGGCGUAAAGCGCGCGUARGUGGUUCGUUAAGUUGGAUGUGAAAUCCCCGGGCUCAACCUGGGAACUGCAUCCAAAACUGGCGAGCUAGAGUA
rnacentral:rRNA from 1 species